UACGUAGGGGGCAAGCGUUAUCCGGAUUUACUGGGUGUAAAGGGAGCGUAGGCGGCUGUGUAAGCCAGAAGUGAAAGCCCGGGGCUCAACUCCGGGACUGCUUUUGGAACUACAUGGCUUGAUUGCAGGAGAGGCAAGUGGAAUUCCUAGUGUAGCGGUGAAAUGCGUAGAUAUUAGGAGGAACACCAGUGGCGAAGGCGGCUUGCUGGACUGUAAAUGACGCUGAGGCUCGAAAGCGUGGGGAGCAAACAGG
rnacentral:rRNA from 1 species